AUACGUAGGGUGCGAGCGUUGUCCGGAAUUACUGGGCGUAAAGAGCUCGUAGGUGGUUUGUCGCGUCGUCUGUGAAAUUCCGGGGCUUAACUCCGGGCGUGCAGGCGAUACGGGCAUAACUUGAGUACUGUAGGGGAGACUGGAAUUCCUGGUGUAGCGGUGAAAUGCGCAGAUAUCAGGAGGAACACCGGUGGCGAAGGCGGGUCUCUGGGCAGUAACUGACGCUGAGGAGCGAAAGCAUGGGUAGCGAACAGGAUUAGAUACCCUGGUAGUCCAUGCCGUAAGCGGUGGGCGCUAGGUGUAGGGGUCUUCCACGACUUCUGUGCCGUAGCUAACGCAUUAAGCGCCCCGCCUGGGGAGUACGGCCGCAAGGCUAAAACUCAAAUGAAUUGACGGGG
rnacentral:rRNA from 1 species